CCCUACUGCUGGACCGGUAUCGUCACAGUUGUUCGGCUCAAUACAAGAGGAGCUGCCGGGUCGGGCAAUUUGUGUUGCGCUUGGCGGGAAAGC
rnacentral:rRNA from 14 species